UCCUAUUUUCUAGGGUUAGAUCAAACAUACUUCCUUCUCUCUCUCAUUCAGUCGUUUCUUCUUUCACUCUCACCAUUAACACACAAAAUUUGAACCCUAAUCUAAUGGCGUUUUCGCCGCCGCUGCUACCUCCACCACCGUAAAUCUUCUCUUAGAAAUAUGGUUUUGAGAAUCUUCCAUCUAUCAGAUGCAUUUUCCGGAUCUGUGAGACUUGAGAGCUAGACCCUUUAAAUCCUUUGAUUUUAUUCUAGAUCUGUGAGAUUUGAGAGGUAGACCCUUUAAAUCCUUUGAUCAUAUUGCUAUUUGACUAAGAUAAUUUAUUUAUUUUAUUAGUUAAGGUGUAGGGUUUGAUAAUCUUAUAUCCUCUUUGCAUUUUAUAGAUCUGUGGUGAUAUUUGAGAGGGCUGGAAAAAUUGUGGUUCAAUUGAAUGGUAGAUUGAAUAAGUGCGGUGUUAUUAGUCCUCAUUUCGAUAUCCGCGUCAAAGGGGUUGAAGGAUGGACUGCAAGGCUGCUUCCCUCAAGACAGUUUGGAUAUAUUGUCUGGACAACCUCUGCUGGUAUCAUGGAUCAUGAAGAGGCAAGGAGAAAGAAUGCUGGUGGUAAAGUGUUGGGUUUUUUCUACUAGGCUAUGAAGAUGGCACCCUAUUUCAGAUUUUGAUGAGCUCAUAAGUUUUUGAGUGUUAGAGAUUUUUUCUUCUUUUGCAUGGUUAUAUAUUAUAAUCUGGCUUUUACUUAGGACCUUA